AGAUACCGGGUAUGAAAAUAGUUGUACCAGUUGAGAUACCGGGUAUGAAAAUAAGGGUAUCAGUUAAGAUACCGGGUAUGAAAAUAGUGGUACCAGUUGAGAUACCAGGUAUGAAAAUAGUAGUACCAGUUGAGAUACCGGGUAUGAAAAUAGUGGUACCAGUUGAGAUACCGGGUAUGAAAAUAGUGGUACCAGUUGAGAUACCGGGUAUGAAAAUAGUGGUACCAG